rnacentral:rRNA from 1 species
AUUGAACGCUGGCGGCAGGCCUAACACAUGCAAGUCGAACGGUAACAGGAAGCAGCUUGCUGCUUUGCUGACGAGUGGCGGACGGGUGAGUAAUGUCUGGGAAACUGCCUGAUGGAGGGGGAUAACUACUGGAAACGGUAGCUAAUACCGCAUAACGUCGCAAGACCAAAGAGGGGGACCUUAGGGCCUCUUGCCAUCGGAUGUGCCCAGAUGGGAUUAGCUAGUAGGUGGGGUAACGGCUCACCUAGGCGACGAUCACUAGCUGGUCUGAGAGGAUGACCAGCCACACUGGAACUGAGACACGGUCCAGACUCCUACGGGAGGCAGCAGUGGGGAAUAUUGCACAAUGGGCGCAAGCCUGAUGCAGCCAUGCCGCGUGUAUGAAGAAGGCCUUCGGGUUGUAAAGUACUUUCAGCGGGGAGGAAGGGAGUAAAGUUAAUACCUUUGCUCAUUGACGUUACCCGCAGAAGAAGCACCGGCUAACUCCGUG